rnacentral:rRNA from 1 species
AUGUACAAAGCUCUAGCCUGGACCGAUGCCCCAACCGCCACAUCGUCAUGCCCGAUGCCACAUCGUCCAAACCAAUCGCCUGCAAAGCAAAACGGGCUCCUGCAGAAGAGCCACCACAUAAUGAAAGCAUGUGUGGUCAUGCACACCAUGAUACUCGAAGAUGAGAAGGGCGUGGAGUUACCUUUUCAUUUGAAUGAAGCUUUGGGAACAUCUACUGCUCUUCCGUCGACAAUAAUUAGUAGUGCUACACUUUUGUUCGCCGACAUGAUUAGAAGAGAUGUUGAUACAUGUGAUCGGUCCAUGCACAAUCGGCUCAAACAUGAUUUGGUUGAGCAUAUUUGGAGGAAAUUCGGUGAGGAUACAAACAAUUAG